UACGUAGGGGGCAAGCGUUGUCCGGAUUUAUUGGGCGUAAAGAGCGUGUAGGCGGUUAUGCAGGUCCGCUGUGAAAACUGGAGGCUUAACCUCCAGACGUCGGUGGAAACCGUAUGACUAGAGUCCGGAAGAGGAGAGUGGAAUUCCUGGUGUAGCGGUGAAAUGCGCAGAGAUCAGGAAGAACACCGGUGGCGAAAGCGCUCUGCUGGACCUUAACUGACACUGAGGGACGAAAGCUAGGGGAGCGAAUGGG
rnacentral:rRNA from 1 species